CCGGCACGUGGGCGGUUCGCCGCCGGCGACGUCGCGAGAAUUCACUGAACCUUAUNUUNNGAGGAAGGAGAAGUCGUAACAAGGUUUCCGUAGGUGAACCUGCGGAAGGAUCAUUGUCGAACCCUGCAAAGGCAGAACGACCCNGUGAACANUGUAAAUACAACUGGGCGAUGGGGNAGACUGGCAUUGGUCCUUAUCCUCAUCCUCUCCUNGNGCAUNGCNGUUUGUGGUGCCUCGUAUGGGGUGCCAUAGAUGACAUGCUGGACCAUAACAAAAACCCGGCACGGCAUGUGCCAAGGAAAACAAAAAUUGAGAUGGACUCGUCUUGUGUUGCCCCGUUCGCGGUGUGCAUGCAGUUCGUGGCCUCUUUGUAAUUACAAACGACUCUCGGCAACGGAUAUCUCGGCUCACGCAUCGAUGAAGAACGUAGCAAAAUGCGAUACUUGGUGUGAAUUGCAGAAUCCCGUGAACCAUCGAGUUUUUGAACGCAAGUUGCGCCCGAAGCCAUCCGGUCGAGGGCACGCCUGCCUGGGCGUCACGCAUCGCGUCGCCCCCACCAUAUCUACUCUUGGUGAUGGGACGGAGAUUGGUCUCCCGUACUUGGUUGCCGUUGGCCUAAAAAGGAGUCCCCUACAGUGGACACACGACUAGUGGUGGUUGAAUAGACCCUNCGUUUUUACCGUGUGUCGUGAGCUGUUUGGGAAGCCCUCAACUAAGACCCGAUUGUAUCGUUUUAGAACGGUGCUUCGACCGCGACCCCAGGUCAGNCGGGACUACCCGCUGAGUUUAAGCAUAUCAAUAAGCGNAG
rnacentral:rRNA from 1 species